UGCGGGGUAGAGCAGCUUGGUAGCUCGUCGGGCUCAUAACCCGGAGGUCGCAGGUUCGAAUCCUGCCCCCGCUA
rnacentral:tRNA from 1 species